ensembl:snRNA U2 U2 spliceosomal RNA
AUCGCUUCUCAGCCUUUUGGCUAAGAUCAAGUGUAGUGAAGUAUAGUUGAUUUAUAAUAUUGUGUUAAUUUUUUCUGUACAACAAAGUGAUUCAAUUAUAUGUUUAUAUAUAUUCUUUUUCAUAUUCUUUUCCAUUAUAGCUUAUCAUAGGAUAUUGAAUAUAGUUCCC